rnacentral:rRNA from 1 species
UACGAAGGGUGCAAACGUUGCUCGGAAUCAUUGGGCGUAAAGCGCACGUAGGCGGCCUUGUAAGUCGGAUGUGAAAUCCCACGGCUUAACUGUGGAAGUGCAUCCGAAACUGCGAGGCUCGAGUAUGGAAGAGGGUCGCAGAAUUCCCGGUGUAGAGGUGAAAUUCGUAGAUAUCGGGAGGAAUACCAGUGGCGAAGGCGGCGACCUGGGCCAAUACUGACGCUGAGGUGCGAAAGCGUGGGGAGCAAACAGG